rnacentral:rRNA from 1 species
CCUACGGGUGGCUGCAGUGGGGAAUAUUGGGCAAUGGGCGCAAGCCUGACCCAGCAACGCCGCGUGAAGGAAGAAGGCUUUCGGGUUGUAAACUUCUUUUAAGAGGGAAGAGUAGAAGACGGUACCUCUUGAAUAAGCCACGGCUAACUACGUGCCAGCAGCCGCGGUAAUACGUAGGUGGCAAGCGUUGUCCGGAUUUACUGGGUGUAAAGGGCGUGUAGCCGGGCCGGCAAGUCAGAUGUGAAAUCCCAAGGCUCAACCUUGGAACUGCAUUUGAAACUGUUGGUCUUGAGUAUCGGAGAGGCAGGCGGAAUUCCUAGUGUAGCGGUGAAAUGCGUAGAUAUUAGGAGGAACACCAGUGGCGAAGGCGGCUUACCAAGCUACUUCUGACGUUGAGGCACGAAAGCGUGGGGAGCAAACAGGAUUAGAUACCCUAGUAGUC